CACUAUCCCUAUUCUUUUACACUCUAUCCUCCCACAAGGAGUCAUCUUUCUAAACUUUUGUCCACAACCAAAAAUAUCAGAUGUUUUUGGAGAAGAGUGGAAGUUGGGGCAAUCAAAUGUCCUCAUGCUGACAUGCUCUGGGAGAACACAGAAGCAGUAUUGGAGGUGCAGAAGCAACUGCAGAGAAUAAUCAGUGAGCAGCACUGAUCGUUCAAGCUCCUGCUUCCUCUGUGAAGGCGACUUGGCAAGCAAACCAGAGACAAAUGGAUUUCCACAUGACCUACUUAUCUGGCAAGAUAUAUAAAUAGUCUACUCCAGAAUUUUGGAGAACCCAUUCAAACACUUUGGAAUGGAGUUGUGGAAGAACACAAGGUCAGUGGAGGCAUCUUGCACGUGCUUCCUGAGCCGGGAGGCAGCAGCAGCAUCGUGCCCACGUGUGUGCAGCCAUCACAUUCCAUGUGACCACGGCAUCACCUCGCCGGUUAAAGUGCACUUUACUGAGCACUGCGUGCACUGCAGGUUGGUCACAACGUCCAGUCACAGCACAGGAACUGUUCCAGAUGGCAAUGGCUAUGUGGGAUCCAGGAAUGGCAACAUUCCAAACGUUCCCAAUCCUGCAGCAGGAUUUGGCACUGUAGGCAGAGGGUGGAUCCCUUCAGAGCUCCCUUCUUGAGCUGCUUUGCUGGCCACAUCUUCUUCUUCAAAACCAACAGCUGUCAUUGCAACAUCCUUGUUAAAAACAGGCAAAAUAACUUUCCCUUCAAGAAAAAAAUUCUCUUUCUUUCUCUCUUCUUCCUCAAAGGCCCUGUACUCAAAUACCAAAGACCUAUGUAGUGCAAAUAAUUGAACUUGAAACACCUUUAUCUUCCAGGUUUUCCAAGGAACAGCACAGAAAUAACCUGAGGGAACAAAGCGAGGGGAGAAGGUGGUCAUGUUCUCACAUGGGGUUACAGUCCUUCAAGCCCUGAAGGGAGGUUGCUUCUUCCAAGCACAAGCUGUAUUGCAGAAGAAUUUCAAAAUGGGGCAUGCGUAAUGUUGCUUAAACUUUCAAGACAGAAGUAUAGCUCAGUUAUUCCCAACAGAGGUCUUUGUGACUUUUAUCAUUAAGUUCAUGAAAUUAUGCCCUUGUCUAAGCUGUCUAAGUGUUAAAAUUUUUCUACAUGGAGGAACUGACUAGUGU